rnacentral:lncRNA from 1 species
AUGAGGAGAGGAGGACUUUAUAUCAUCAGGAGGAGGAGAGGACUUUAUAUCAUCAGGAGGAGGAAGAUAGGACUUUAUAUCAUCAGGAGGAGGAGAGGAGGACUUUAUAUCAUCAGGAGGAGGAGAGGAGGACUUUAUAUCAUCAGGAGGAGGAGAGGAGGACUUUAUAUCAUCAGGAGGAGGAGAGGAGGACUUUAUAUCAUCAGGAGGAGAGGAGGACUUUAUAUCAUCAGGAGGAGGAGGAGGACUUAUAUCAUCAGGAGGAGGAGAGGAGGACUUUAUAUCAUCAGGAGGAGAGGAGGACUUUAUAUCAUCAGGAGGAGGAGAGGAGGACUUUUAUAUCAUCAGGAGGAGGAGGAGGACUUUAUAUCAUCAGGAGGAGAGGAGGACUUUAUAUCAUCAGGAGGAGGAGAGGAGGACUUUAUAUCAUCAGGAGGAGGAGAGGAGGACUUUAUAUCAUCAGGAGAGGAGAGGAGGACUUUAUAUCAUCAGGAGGAGGAGAGGAGGACUUUAUAUCAUCAGGAGGAGGAGAGGAGGACUUUAUAUCAUCAUGGGAGGAGAGGAGGACUUUAUAUCAUCAGGAGGAGGAGAGGAGGACUUUAUAUCAUCAGGAGGAGGAGAGGAGGACUUUAUAUCAUCAGGAGGAGGAGGAGGACUUUAUAUCAUCAGGAGGAGGAGAGGACUUUAUAUCAUCAGGAGGAGGAGAGGAGGACUUUAUAUCAUCAGCAGGAGGAGAGGAGGACUUUAUAUCAUCAGGAGGAGGAGAGGAGGACUUUAUAUCAUCAGGAGGAGGAGAGGAGGACUUUAUAUCAUCAGGAGGAGGAGAGGAGGACUUUAUAUCAUCAGGAGGAGGAGAGGAGGACUUUAUAUCAUCAGGAGGAGAGGAGGACUUAUAUCAUCAGGAGGAGAGGAGGACUUUAUAUCAUCAGGAGGAGGAGAGGAGGACUUUAUAUCAUCAGGAGGAGGAGAGGAGGACUUUAUAUCAUCAGGAGGAGGAGAGGAGGACUUUAUAUCAUCAGGAGGAGGAGAGGAGGACUUUAUAUCAUCAGGAGGAGGAGAGGAGGACUUUAUAUCAUCAGGCAGGAGGAGAGGAGGACUUUAUAUCAUCAGGAGGAGGAGAGGAGGACUUUAUAUCAUCAGGAGGAGAGGAGGACUUUAUAUCAUAAUGGAGAGAGGACUUAUAUCAUCAUGAGGAGAGGAGGACUUUAUAUCAUCAUCAGGAGGAGGAGAGGAGGACUUUAUAUCAUCAGGAGGAGAGGAGGACUUUAUAUCAUCAGGAGGAGGAGAGGAGGACUUUAUAUCAUCAUGAGGAGAGGAGGACUUUAUAUCAUCAUGAGGAGAGGAGGACUUUAUAUCAUCAGGAGGAGAGGAGGACUUUAUAUCAUCAGGAGGAGGAGAGUUGGGUUUUCUUAUUUCUGGUGA